CUCGGCGGGCCCGCGCGGCACCUGCAGAGCGCCUCCCCUGAGCGAGUCCUCCCGGCCCGCGCGCCGCCCCUGGCCGUGCCCUAAAUCCCUCUCCUCGGACACGGAGCGACCCCAGGGCAGUCCGUGUUCGCCUUUGUCGGCAGCCCUGCACAGAGCUCACGUUGUCUACAAAAUUGCCAGUUCGGGGGUUCUUUGAGUCCCAGUACACAACUUAGGGAAACUUGGUGUUGCAGUGGAACGUGGCCUUCGCCCCCUCUUUCGUGGGUGUGUUUCCUGUGGCGUACGGAGGGGCUAUUCAUUUACGGUCUUGGUGUCCGAAAUUUCAGCUGCUUCCGGCGAUCGUGCCAGGUUGCAGUGGCCGUGGCACGCCGCCAGAAGACGAUCGUCCGGGUCCGGGACAUCCCUCCCCCCGCUAGCGUCCCGAUCGCGCAGCUCUUGCUGCGGCCGCACCCGCGCGUCCGGGCCGGCGGCGAGCGGCAGACAAAGGCCUGCCGUCGGGGCCUCGGUCUCAGCGUCGGGAGACAGACGACGACAGUACGCGAUAGGAAUAAUCUCUGAGAGAAGAAGCGCCAUCCUCCUGCUGUCUGUGAGUCAUGAAGCUGAAGCCAGUGAAUAAAACAUGGUUUUUGUAGAUGAAAUCUGUGCUCGUGGUUUAAUCGCUGGACGUUGUAGCCGAGAAAGCCAUGUCCCCGGAGCGUCUGUCUGCACCACAGCUGACUUUUCCCAGGUCCUCCUGGUUCUGCUAUGUGGGAUGCCGCCUCAGCAUGGCUUGAUGAGUGGUGCUAGGUCCGCGC
rnacentral:lncRNA from 1 species